rnacentral:snRNA from 1 species
AUGCUUGCUUUGGCAGCACAUAUACUAAAAUUGGAAUGAUACAGAGGUUAGCAUGGCCCCUAUGCAAGGAUGACACAAAUUCUUAAAGCGUUCCAUAUUAAA